rnacentral:lncRNA from 1 species
UCUUCUUCAUUCUAUUUCAUUUCAGUCCUCUUUAUCUAUAUUUUCAAUUUCAAUUGUUUCUCUUUUUCCUUGCAUUCAUGCUACUUGUUUUAAGUUUUCCUUUUUGUCAUUUAGAAUUAGAGGUUUGAAAUGGCAAAUUCUGCUAAUUCUUAUUCUCUAUGCAUGCAGAUUAUGCUCCUGAGGUGAGUUGUCACUUGGCUUAUGUGACAAAGAAUGUUCGAGUUCCGGUGGUAGAAUAUCAAGGAGAUCAAAUCAGUAGAAAGGGUUGAUUUCAGAUUCUCCAAUUUCUAAGCCGCCCUUCAGGUACAUUGCACAUUCUUUUCACACCCUUUCAACUUUAGAUCCGUUUAUUGAAAAAAUAAUUUCAGUGUUCUACUUUUGUUUAAUUUAUUUAGCAGUUGUUUAAUAAUGGGAUAUAAACUCUGAAAAUAGUUCACCUCUAUAUUCAAUUUUUUAAUUGAUUUAUGUUUCUCCUAAUUUUGCAUUUGUAGCGACUUGGUGCCCACUACGGUGUUAAUUUAAGUACUUUUUUAUGGCAUUCGAUAUAGAAAUGUGGGUGUCUUAGCUUUUCUCUUUGCUGGCAAUAUAAACUGAACUAGGAUAUCCCACUUUGUCGUAGGCAUAAUAUAAACUUAUCUGAUACGGAUUAAUUGCUUUUGAUUCUACAUUUAUGGGUCAUAUCUGAAUUUGCCUAUUGAUUUUCUCAUUGUGGAUUAGCUUCGCUUGAUAUUCUGAUUGUGGUUUUCCCAAGGAUUAAGUACGCAUUUGGCUUUAGGUUAUUUUGGAAGUAUAUUUUUGGGGCAGUUGAAUUUUAUGAAUAUGUACUGCCUUUGCAAUAAAAUAGAAAUUUCAUUGUAUUUUGAUUUAAUUACUUGCAUACAUUAUUAAACUCUGAAGUAAUCUGCGUUGGACAGGAGAACCCAUGAAGAUAUGCACUUGUUCAAUAUAAUGUUGAAUCAAGAAAUCAGAUGGUUGUCAGCGCAGGUAUCUUCAUUUUCAUGGUUGCAGACAGAAUCACCAACAGCAUCAAAGAAAAUAUAAAAGGCAAGUCCUCUUAACAUUCAAAGUAUAAUUUUUCUCUGUUGAUGUGGGUGCAGUAUAAUGUAUAUUUUGUGGCGUCUUCUCUCUUGCAUAUAUUGUUAAUUUCUCUAUCUGUAUCCGAUGUAGCCUCUCUGUUUCUAGAGUUAUUUGUGCAAUCAUUCUUCUAAGUGUUGUUUUGAGGUGAUAACUAGCAAUAUAUCGCUUUUAAUAACUAUCGAAUACAAAUUAUUUCUUAGAAAAUAUUUUUCACCAAGCAUUUUUGAUGAUUUUCUUCAGAAAAGAUUCCAACAAAGUAUUCAAAUACUAUUAAAGUUUUCCAUUCAUUUGUUCCGGCGACACGAAAUAAGAAUGUUGUUUCAACCCUGCAGGAGCAUUUUUGGAAACUUUAUCACCUAUAAUAUCUUCUUAGUUCAUUCGAUGAUAAAUGAUUAAUUCAAGGUCAAAAGAUUUCUGCAUUAUUAAUCAUAGAUAUCAAACUACUACCUUUAUAUCUACGGUAGUGUUGCAGAUCAACAAAAUAAAACAAUCCUAAUUUUCUCCAUAUGAGAGAGCAUAUUUGGAGAUGAAGCUUUAUUGGAAUCAAAUCAAUCAGCCAUGUUCACCAUUAUUUAAGAAUAACAUUGUAUUUUUGUCUUCAAAUAUUUAAAAAACAAGGGAAUCUUGAAAAGUUUCAUAGCACAUUAAACAAAAAGAUGAUUUUUCUUGUUUCCAAAUACCAAAUUUCAAACAUUGAAAGGUGUAGAGUCAAGCUAAUCUCAGGAUUCAGAGCUUUGUAAUGGUUGCAAUUUAUGGUUAAAUGUGUAAAUUAUUGAAAUAAUUUUAUUUGUAUAACUUGGAUAAUUUUUACGUGUUGUUGACAAAGCUAUGAUGAUUGUUUCCCUCUAUUGGUAAUUCGUAUUUCUUCUUACCCUUUCCAUACAUUUUAAAGUUCCUCCCAAUAUAAAACAUGUGAUUGUAAUUAUUUUUUUGUGUUCUCUUGCGAAAAGGUUUUUUUUGAAGACAGAGCAUGGAAAGUGACCAUUUCAUGUAUUAGUACCACCAUUCUUCAGAAUAUCUGUCCUUACUUAUUGUUGAGAUACAAGAUAUUACAUGAUUUAGAUUUGUAUAUACUUGUACCUUUUGUGUAUACUCAGUGUAUAUUGUAGGUAUAUUGUAGGUAUAUUUCCGGCAUUGGGUUGUAAGUUGUAACUGGGCUGUGAUGAGUUAUAUGGUCUGAGCCCAAUGUCCCUUAUUUAAUUUUGGGCCGGAUCACCCGAUCCGACCCGUCCGUUUGUAAUUAGUAUAAAUGUAGGUGAGAUAUUUUCUCACCUACCGAGAUUCAUUUUCGUCCUUUCAUUUUCUGUAUUCAGCAUUGGGUUGUAAGUUGUAACUGAGUUGUGAUGAGUUAUAUGGUCUGAGCCUAAUGUCCCUUAUUUAAUUUUGGGCCGGAUCACCCGAUCCGACCCGUCCAUUUGUAACUAGUAUAAAUGUAGGUGAGAUAUUUUCUCACCUACAAAGAUUCAUUUUCCUCCUCUCAUUUUCUGUAAUAUACUUCUCUCUUCCAGAGAGUUCCGAAAUGCUCUGACUUCUCUCUACUUUCUCUCUCUAGAUUUUCUAUGAUUUCUCGGUCUAAUAUGAAUGUUUACUGCUGUAAUAUACUUCUCUUUUCCAGAGAGUUCCAAAUGCUCUGACUUCUCUCUACUUUCUCUCUCUAGAUUUUCUAUGAUAUCUCGGUCUAAUAUGAAUGUUUACAUGGUAUCAGAGCCUCGACGACGAUCCGAUCAUGUUUCUAUGUGCUUCGUGG